AAAAAAAAAGACAACUGAUCACCAGGGUUGAUUUGGCUGAUCUGGCUGGCUUGACAGAUGUCCCCUUCCUCCCUCACCAUUCCGUGUCCCCUCCCAAAGCUGUGUGCUCAGUGGAAGAGAAUGCCCCUCCCCAGUAAAGAACUGCUGUCCAGUCAAGUGUAUACCAGUAACUGCACUCCCCUGCUAGAACCUCCAAACUCAAAGGACAGAAAAACCAACCCACUGUGCUGAGUAUUACAAGCUGGGCUGGUCAAGGAGAAUGAGGCCUGAGGAGUCUCCAUGGAUUUUACAAGGAGCUUGCUU
rfam:Fukomys damarensis contig153061, whole genome shotgun sequence.